UUGCAGCUACGUUGGCGGGCGCCAACGGAAUGGAAGAGCCAACAUAAGCAACUGCAAUUUCAUUGAACAUAUUUCAUUUAUAGAAUAAAUAUAUUUGUUUAACAAUAAAUCAAAGUAACAGUGUAAUUAAUCGGCAUCUAUCUUCUUACGUGAAUUUUAUUGAUUACUACGUCCGAUAGAAAAUGAUAUCUCGUAUUAUGAAAUAAAAAUACAAAUAGAAAAGAAAAAAAAAGAAGAAAAGAAAAAAAGGAACAAAAAAGAACAAAUAAGAACAUAUUGCGUAAAAAUGAGAUAAAAACAUUCCAGUCGAUCGUUACUCGACAGAUCAAUCAAUGGCUAUUAAUAAAAGUAAUUAAUUCCUACUGCGAGAGCCAGUGGAACGUUCACUUUCUCAGGACUUUGAUUAUAAAACUCUUUCGGAUCGAAUAAUAUCGAUUUAACGUGAGAUAUCAAACUCGGAAAUACGGACACAUUGAUAAACGUAAACGUUAAGUAAGGUCAGAUAUGAAUUAAUAACUUGUCCCUAAUUUAUUCCUUGUAUCUUCAAUGGUAAUAAUAAUUACGUUAACAGCCUCAUAGAAAUAAACAACAUUUUUCUUUCAAAAUGAACAUUUCAAAAUAAACCCUGCAUUGAAAAUAUUGUACGCAAAACAUAUGAAAAAAAAUCUAACGUUCGGUUCUAAGAUAAGUGGAUUCGUAAAAAUAAUCCCUGGACAAGGGAAAGGGGAGGAUCUAUAAGAAACGGGGGAAGAGAAGAAAACAAGAAAAUAAAGAAAACAUGUGGAAAAAAAAGUAACGCUUUGCGAAGCAUCAAGAAGACUUGUGACUAGUACUUUUCCAUGACGGCUUCGAUAGGAAGAAUGGCGAAGACGUUAUAAGAGAGACAAAGAAAGAGGGUCGUGUUAGUUUAUCUCUCUCUCUCUCUCUCUCUUUCUCUCUACAUCUUUUUUCUCUUUCUUUCUCCCUUGAACAUUUUUUUAUGUAGGAAGUCGAAGAAUUCAGCCAAGUUGAAAAAGAUGCGAAAGAUCAACAAGGCGAGGUUACGAGACGAAAACGAAAUGAGAAAGAGAGAGAUGGAAAGAUAAACGAAGUUAAGAGGAAAAAGCGCGUGCGCAUCUUGUUAAGUGUAUACAUACAUACAUAUAUAUAUAUACACGCAUAGAUAUAAACACUUAGGCAAAGAGAUAUCACAUCACGCACGUAGGCGUCGAAAGCUUAGUCACGCUCAACGCGAUCAACGUCGCCAUCGUCGUCGUCGUCGUAGUCGUCCUCUCCUCCUUAUUCUUUUCCUCGUCUCUUCGUCGUCGUAGCAGUCAUUCGAACGAACAGAUUACCGGUGGUAGCGGCCUUGUUUCGAAAAUCACGAUCUUCACCAGCUGGUGAUCUAUUUUAAUCGAUACACGACGUUGUAUUCAUCUACGGACGUACGGAUGUAUAUACGUAUGUAUGCGUGCAGGUAAAUAUAUGCGUGUUGAAGUGGGGAUACAAGUUAUACCAUUUCAACUGGAAACUAAGCUAUCGAAUUGUAAAUAAGAAUGUUUAUCGAUCUUUGAUAAUGGCAUUAACCGUUAGUUACUUAGCCGUAUCGUCGGUUAUAUUUAAAAGAGGCAGCAACAGAAGCAGAAGAAGAAGAAGGAAGUUGAAGGGAACGGAGAAUUUUCAAGUCCGACCACUGGCGUGGGUAGCAUCGUCACGUGGAGAAAAUUUUAAAAGUUACUAACAGAGAGAAAGGUCGUCGGAGCUAUCUAACGGCACUUCCUCUCCUCUUCUUCUAUAUAUAUAUUUACUCUUUGAAUAUAUAUAGAAACUUCAAAAAUACCAAAGGAUAGAAAAAAAAAACAAAAUAAGGAAUGUUUCGCUUCAAAUCUUCUAAUACCUGAAUGAAAUACCUACAUAUUUGAAGACGAUCCAUCCGAUUGAAAAUAAGGAAUACAAAAGAAAAAAAGAAUUCCGAAAUGAAAAAAGAGAAAUAUGCAGAAAGAAAUCAUUAAUACCUGACUCAGCGUUGUAUCUUUUUUUUCUUUCUCUUCAAAAGAUCAAUUGGGAAUAUCGAUUUCUUCGAAUACCAAGAAUCCAACAAAUAAACACAACCCGAUAAAAGGAAAA
rnacentral:lncRNA from 1 species